rnacentral:misc_RNA from 1 species
GGAAGUAAAAGUCGUAACAGGGUUUCCGUAGGUGAACCUGCGGAAGGAUCAUUAAUGAGUUGUCAUGGGGUUCGAUGCUGGCAGCCAGUUUUUGGAUGCAUGUGCUUGCCCUAACAAUCAUCUUCUUCCAAACACCUGUGCACAUUUUUGAGGGAGUCUUGAGUUGGUUGCCGCUCUUGGGUGAUUUUCUCACAUUCCCUUAAAUCAUUAUACGCUAUUAACAAUGUUGAACGUGCUCUGUGCCGCAAGGCCAUUAAUAUAAUACAACUUUUAACAACGGAUCUCUUGGCUCUC